GGCCGUGGGAGUCGAGGCGCGGCGCCAUUUUGUUUGCCGUGAGGGCCGCGGGAAGGGCGCAGGCACGGGCUGCCCGGCGGGAAGGAGUCCGUCCUGCCAGGACCAGAUGCACUCAGAAAUGGUGUGUUCGAGCAGGAGCUGCACCACACCUCAUGAACUGCAAAGCAGCAUAAGGCAGCUGGAGCUUCCAGAUCCAGCAUUUUGUGUACGAGUGAAAAGUCUUCUUGGAUAAUUAAGACUGUGUCUAAAAUCACAGUUACAGUAUGCUGAUCUAUAAGGAAACUCAGGUCUAACGGACAGGCCCAUCCCAGAGGAGGCCACGUCCUCGUUCAUGGCACACGUCUUUGUCCCCUGCUCUGAGCUGCCUUCAGAGGACACCAACUGCUCUCCGCUGCCUGCCCAGGAAGUUGAGAAGGAGGAGCCUCUCAAGCCAGGUCAGGAGUGACGUUUUGUGGCACAUGAUUACUGAACAUCCAUCCGUGUAUUUCUGUGAGGAAACUUCACUGGGACAAUAUAAACAUCUGCUUAAAGCUCAAGUAUUGUAUCAAACAAGGACAACAGCAACACACCUUGGAACGGGCAGUCGGAGAGCCAGUCCCUCACGUGUGCUGCUGCUGCUGCAGAUGGAGUCACAGCAAUACAGAGGCUGCAAGAGGCUCAGCAGGGAUUUACAAAGCCAGGAAUGAAGAUGAGCAUAGAGAGAAACUGGAUAUUGAAAUUAAAAAAUUUGGCAAAAUUGGGUGUCUGUAGCACUGUAUUCUCCAGUCUCUUUGGAGAACACAACUGUGCCAAAUAAUGUCACUUGGAACAGCAGCAAAGACACUUCCAGCUCUUCCUUUGUUAAAGAAGCUCCCUCAGCCUUUGCAUCCCCCCCAUCUCCUUGGGAUCGAGUCCCCAGCGUCAGACUUUGCCCUCCUGUCAACAUCAAGCAACAAAUCUCUGAACAGCAGCAGAAGAUCCACAGGAGCAUCCUGGAGGCAACACCCGAGCCCCAGGACCCUGCUGUUCUAGAGGACAAUGGAGCCCCUCUUCUGUCAGGCAGCAGAACACACACAGUCUGUUCUCGGGAAGAACAGGAGCCAGGAAGGACAAGAAGAACAUUGCAGGACACCAGCAAGGGACCCGAGCCUUUCUGCAAGCACCUCAUCCACAUUCCAGCUCUGCCCGGGAAAGGUCAGGAUGGGCUUUGCAAAGGAGAACUGUGAGCAAGGCAACAGCCCAACGCAGACCCAGGAUUCUCCGUCCUCUCCCAUUCCAGGGUGUUUUAGAGGGAGACCACCGGAAACACAAGGUAAUUUAGCUACGGAAUAGAGCCCAAAAACCCAAAGAGCAACAUGUUUACUCACUCCUAUAAUUCACAAGGAUUCCUGUGCAGGUUUUUUGUUAAAGGACAUGAAUUGAGGUUUUCAGAGAAGUUCAAUGGGAACACUGUCCCUCUGUGAGCUGGAACAGGCACGAACUGGGACUGUUCUCUGCCAUCAGCGCUCCGUGAAAAACUUGCACAUAAGAAGGAAAAACUACACAAGUGCCAAGAAGUGCAGAAGUACAACUGAAAAAAUAUUGCCUCUGGCCUUGUAGCUUGUAUCAAUUAUUGCUUUAACAAAAGAUUAUCAGCAAAUAUCAGGUAGGGCAGCUCAGGCUUCUGCUUCCUUAAACAUCAAGUACAAAGUUUCUGUUUAUCAAAUCACGCUGCAAGUGCAACAAAGGUACUCAAACUCUGCUUUCCACAGAAAGGUUCGAGACUUAAAUUUUUCUGCUCUUUCAAUCUGUAUCAGUUUUUCCUGUUGCUUUAAACAGGAAUUUUCCUUUUGGUUUCAUCCCU